AAUACGCGGGCGGAAUUUCACGAUUCGGGAAGCACCCAAACCAAAACCUUUCAUUUAUCUCUGAGAAAACAAUGGACUUGGACCCAGAUGACGUUUUCAGAGACGACGAAGACGACGAAAACGAACUCUUUCAGGAACGAGAGUCAACUAAAGAAUAUGUGGUGUACCUUGUUGAUGCUUCACCCAAAAUGUUUUCUACCUCAACUUCAGCCGAAGAUCAAAAGGAUGAAAGUCAUUUUCACAUUGUGGUUAGUUGUAUUGCGCAAUCACUCAAGACUCAGAUCAUUAAUAGAUCAUAUGAUGAAGUUGCUAUCUGCUUCUUUAACACGAGGGAAAAGAAGAAUAUGCAGGAUCUAAAUGGUGUUUUUGUGUAUAAUGUUGCUGAACGAGAUUCUUUAGAUAGGCCAACAGCAAGGUUUAUAAAAGAAUUUGACCGCAUAGAGGAAUCAUUUGCGAAAGAAAUUGGGAGUCAAUAUGGUAUUGUUUCUGGGUCUCGUGAGAAUUCUAUUUACAAUGCCCUCUGGGUAGCACAAGGGCUGUUACGUAAAGGGUCUGCAAAGACAGCUGACAAAAGGAUACUGUUAUUUACAAAUGAAGAUGACCCUUUUGGGAGUAUCAAGGGUGCAGCAAAAACUGAUAUGACAAGAACCACAUUGCAACGAGCUAAAGAUGCCCAAGAUCUUGGUAUCUCAAUUGAACUUUUACCCUUAAAUCGGCCUGGCGAGGAAUUCAAUGUUUCUCUUUUCUAUUCUGGUUUGAUUGGAUUGGAAGGUGAUGAUCUUGCUCUAUUCAUGCCCUCAGUGGGACAAAAAUUGGAAGAUAUGAAAGAUCAGCUGAGAAAGCGUAUGUUCACAAAGCGCAUAGUGAAAAGAAUAUCAUUUAUAAUUGCCAAUGGAUUGUCAAUUGAAUUGAAUUCAUAUGCUUUAAUUCGUCCAACUGUUCCAGGGGCGACUACAUGGCUUGAUUCUGUAACAAAUCGUCCUUUAAAGACUGAAAGAUCAUUCAUCUGUGCUGAUACCGGGGCACUGAUGCAAGAACCUCCAAAAAGAUUUCAGUCUUACAAAAAUGAAAAUAUCAAAUUUUCCACUGCGGAGCUAUCUGAGAUCAAAAGAGUUUCAACUGGACAUCUGCAGCUCCUUGGGUUCAAGCCAUUAAGUUGCUUAAAAGAUUAUCACAACUUGAGGCCAUCGACAUUUCUUUUUCCUAGUGACAAGGAAGUGGUUGGCAGUGCUCGCAUUUUUAUUGCUCUUCAUAGAUCCAUGUUACGGCUUCAACGUUUUGCAGUUGCCUUUUAUGGCAAUCCAUCUAAUCCUCAUUUGGUCGCCCUUGUUGCUCAAGAUGAGAUUAUUAGUAAUGGUGGUCAGCUUGAGCCACCAGGAAUGCACAUGAUAUACCUUCCAUAUUCUGAUGAUAUUAGAAAUGUUGAAGAGUUUCAUUCUAGCCCAGAUGUUGUACCUCGAGCUACCGAUGAUCAAGUUAAAAAGGCCGCUGCAUUGAUGAAACGUAUUGACUUGAAAGAUUUUUCAGUAUGCCAAUUCGCAAAUCCUGCCUUGCAGAGACACUAUGCAGUAUUACAGGCCCUAGCUCUAGAAGAAGAUGAGAUGCCAGAUAUCAAUGAUGAGACACUCCCUGAUGAGGAAGGCAUGUCUAGACCUGGAGUUGUUAAAGCAAUAGAAGAAUUCAAGCUUUCUGUGUAUGGGGAAGAUUAUGAUGAGGAAAGUGAGUGUGCGGGCAAUGGAAAAGUGAGUGAGGCCUCAAAAAAACGGAAAGCAGUUGCUGAAAAUGCAGUUAAGGAGAGUGCAAAUUAUGAUUGGGCUGACUUGGCGGACAAUGGAAAGUUGAAGGAUUUGACCGUGCAAGAGUUGAAGUAUUACUUGUCGGCACACGGCCUUCCUCUUACAGGGAAAAAAGAAACCUUGAUUAGCAGAAUAUUAACACACAUGGGAAAAUGAGCAAGUACGCAAUGGUUAUGUUGUGUAAUCCCCUGCUGUGAUUGAAGCAUAUUAUUGCAUGGCUAUUAUAGUAUCCAACGUAAAAGCUGCAAUCAUAGUGGAGCAUUACAUGGUUCAACUGUUGUAUGAAUUUCCUUCUGAGGAUAGUUCUACCCAGCUUUCUUAAAGUCUUGACGCUUUCCUGCAAUUUUCCCUGCAAAAUCAGUUAAACUGAAAUUUUGCUUUUCCAGGUUUGUUGGGCAAAUUCAGAACAUGAAAGCAUUUUGUUGUACAGGAAGGUGAAAAUAUUUUCAUUAGUGCUGCCGAGAGUGUACAAAGCAAACAACCUGAAAUUGAGAAGAUGUAAGCGACCAACUGGACCAACGAUCAAACUGGGACGACUUCUACAAAUAAAUGGCGAUGUCAAAGUUACAAAGAGGAGUUUGGCAGUUCAUGAAGUUGAUGAGAGGGAUAGUGUUAUUAAUAGCCGAUGCUUCUACUUAAACUACUACUGCUUCAAAGGCUGAUCAGGCUACCAUUUAAAUUGAUGAGAGCUUGUCUGCAUGCAUGUAAAUUUAUUGAAUUAUGAAUAUUAUGUAGCAAACCGAGUAAUAAAAUAAGGUCAAUACAAUUUA